GAUUGUGGAGAUUUGGAAAAGGUUCUGGACCCAGUGCAUGUGCAAGGCCGAGGUGCACCGAAGAAAAGGUUGCAGGCAAAGAUGAAGAAGCAAAGAUCAAAGAGGAAAUGUGGCUACUGUGGGGUGACAGGUCAUGAUCGGCGUAAUUGCACUAAACUGCAAGAGGAAAUGAUGGCAGCAAACUAUUAGCUGCAGCUAUCUCUGCAAGGGGUUUUGUGGUAGGAAACUGUUGCCCUUGUGGUCCAUUUUUCAAGUAUUACUUUCUGCAAGUAUUUCAUUUUCCACGAUCUUGCCGAUCCGUCCCCUGCGAUGCCUCAACCUCCUCGUAGCCCUGCACAUGUAUUCUUGUCUGCAUGUUCAGCUGCAAGCUCAUCUGUAGAGAAAAAAAAUUGUUGUACAAGCUAGUAUUGAAGUUGCAUCCACUUUUUCCUUGUUCUGCAGCCCAAGGUAUCUUCAGAUGAUGAUUGGAGCUGGAUGGCGCUCAAGCUAUUGCGUAAGCUAGGAUAUAUUGGAGUUUGAAAGUUCUGUGUUGUAAUGCAUCUCUUCUGGUAAAGCGGUUGAUUUAUGUUUGGACAUAAAAAAGUGAGAUACAAGAGUUGUAGAACAAAGCUAUCCUUAUAAAAUACUCCGUCCGUCCCAUAAUGUAAGACGUUUUUUGACACUACAGUAGAGUCAAAAAACGUCUUACAUUAUGGGACAGAGGGAGUAUAUUAUAUCAGAUGUAUGUACACAAUGUUUGAGUUAGCCUGUGCAUGUGACAGUGGUGAACAGAAA